GCUUCCAACUAUAUCCAGGGUUGGGCCCAGUUAGUACUUGGAUGGGAGACCGCCUGGGAAUACCGGGUGCUGUAGGCU
rfam:Patagioenas fasciata monilis isolate BTP2013 Sc31e1R_140, whole genome shotgun sequence.